rnacentral:rRNA from 1 species
AUUGAACGCUGGCGGCAGGCCUAACACAUGCAAGUCGAGCGGAUGAAGGGAGCUUGCUCCUGGAUUCAGCGGCGGACGGGUGAGUAAUGCCUAGGAAUCUGCCUGGUAGUGGGGGAUAACGUCCGGAAACGGGCGCUAAUACCGCAUACGUCCUGAGGGAGAAAGUGGGGGAUCUUCGGACCUCACGCUAUCAGAUGAGCCUAGGUCGGAUUAGCUAGUUGGUGGGGUAAAGGCCUACCAAGGCGACGAUCCGUAACUGGUCUGAGAGGAUGAUCAGUCACACUAGACCUGAGACACGGUCCAGUCAUUUACGGGAGGGCGCAGUUGGGAAUAUUCGUGAUUGGGCCAAGUCCUGCUCCAGCCAUGCCGCGUGUGUGAAGAAGGUUUUCGGAUUGUAAAGUACUUUAAGUUGGGAGGAAGGGCAGUAAGUUAAUACCUUACUGUUUUGACGUUACCAACAGAAUAAGCACCGGCUAACUUCGUG